UUGCUUUGGCAGCACAUAUACUAAAAUUGGAACGAUACAGAGAAGAUUAGCAUAGCCCCUGUGCAAGGAUGACAUGCGAAUUUAUGAAGCGUUCCAUAGUUUU